UCAUAAGCGGUACCGUAGUGACUAUAUCUGGGGCUUACAUGUUUUUGCUCUUCUGUGUGUUGUUGAGGCAAAUUCCUCAGAGGUGUGAUUUCUGGACCAAAGGGCCUGUAUACAUUCCUACUUCUUGUUCUAGGCUGCUGCUGUGGCUUCAUCGGGCUUCAAAAAGGGGAAGUGAAUAAACGGCAGGAGGAAUGCAGGCGUCUUGGGGUGGUGCCACUCAAGAACCUGGAAAAAGGGGGAAAUAAAAUUAAGGCUGCCUCCUGACGGUUUAAAUCAGAGUGUAGUGGGCCGAAACAGAGAUGUGCAAAGCCACCUGGGAGAGAUGAAUCUUGGACGGUCACUCAAGCAGUGCACAGUCUGGGUCCUAUUGGGAAACAGAAGCCGUCGAAGGGCGUCAGAUGUUGAGAUGUCAGCAUCUCAAAAUGGAGGGAGCCUGGAUCCACGAAUCACUGCAUAGACGAGAGUUGCCCUCAAGAACCGCCCGAUCCACAUUUGACUUUAUUUCUCCAAGGUCAGUGUCGCUGCCUGUUCUAUAGUGAUGAAUCUGAAGCAGAGUCCAAAAACUUGUUCAAGGACACUGAACAAAGAAGGCUGCCCGUGGGGAUCUAUAAAGCCCACAGGAGAGUUCUCAACAAAGACAAGAAAGGGAAGGGUUGGAGGAGAAAAGGAGUCAACUCUCCCAUCCUAUACAAGGUCAGGCUCCUGGGAUUCUUCUCUUACGAGACCUGACGAGCUAUCAAUAGCCUGAAUAUGACAAGGAUCCAAGUCACCUCUGCUCGUGGUUAUUUGUCAUCCUCCGUUCCUUGCUGUGGUUGAGGGCUCAUGUAGCACUCCCCCCCUGUGAAACUCAGGCUGCUGAGACAGGGGACCAGCCUCAAAGCAAGAUUUCUCUGCAGGGCCUCUAGCUGCCUGACUUCAGGGCACCCCUCACCUUGUACUCUGUAUAGAUGUCCCUUGGAGCUGGGCAUUGAGGCAAGACUGUGGCCCUAUUCUUUACUGAUUCAUGCACUCAUUCAUUCAGAAAUAUUAAACACUGGCUAUUGCUUAGGAACUCUAUUGAUCUCGGAGGAUGGAGAAGGGGAUAAACCAGGUCAGUCCUAGUUAAUGGUGACAUACUGUCCACACCGGACCUCUUCGGAAACCUGGGAGUCGCUGUUGACUCUUCCUCCCCCUUAGCUACCACAUCGUGUUCAAACACCAAGCCUUAUCAAGUUUGCCUUUGAAAUAUUCAUCAUGCUCAUCUCUACUUCUGCAUCCCAGCUAGCACAGCCCUACUUUAGGUUUUCCAUACCCCCUUUUUUUUUUAUUAUUAUUGCCGUUCCCUCACAACUAGUCUGUCUGAUUUGGUCUCAUCCUCAUUAUUUGCUCCUCCCUACCUGAGCAAGAAAGACUCACCUAAAAUAUAUGUUUAAGUCACUCACUCAAACUUCAAAGGUUCCCUGUGGCCCAGCUAACAUGGCGUACAAAGUCCAUGUUCAUGCUUUGGCUUUUACCCCUCUCUCCAGCUCUGCCCCUUAGUAGGCUCUUGACCGCCAAAGUAAGAUUAUUCAGCCAUAUUGCCUUGGCUGACUCCAUGUCCUCUGGGGGGGCGGGGGUGAGUGUGCUGUCUCCUCUGUCUGUACAUCUCUUCUCCCACCUGUCACUUCUCUGACUUUGCUCCCUCCUCCCCACGUCCUUUGUAAUUCCUGCAUCAGGCUGAGUCCUCUCCACUCUUCAAGGCUUACUUUAGGGCCCAACCACUCCAGAAAACCUUUGUUACUUUCCUGACCACUCCACGACAGGUGCCUUUCCUCAGCGGGCCCACAGUAUCCUUCCCUCAUUGUUCUUAACACAUGGACUGACAAUUGUCAUCAGGGCCUUUUGCUCCACUGUAUUCUGGAAGGACUACUGAGAAGGACCAGAGUACUUAGCACAUGGUAGCUCCCGAUUCACUUGUUGAAUGAAUAAGCAAGUAAUUUCAACACAAUGGAGAAUAAGGGGGGGGGGGCUGGAGGGAGUGACUGACCCCAGCUGGAGAGAUCAGAGUGGCUCAAAAGAGGAGAUGACACAGGACUGCAUGUUAAAGGAAGCAGAGGAGCUUGUGGGUGGGGAGCAGUGAGAAAGCUACACUCCUAGUGCCCCACUAGCAAAAUGUUUGCGGCUUGUUGCUGUGACUUCAUGCUCUGCUGGCCUGGAAGUCUUAGGAUAAUGAUAAUGGA